rnacentral:rRNA from 1 species
UCGAGGGAUCAUUUUGCAAUGGGCGAAAGCCUGACAAUGCGACGCUGCGUGGAGGAUGAAGGCCUUCGGGUUGUAAACUCCUGUCAUAAGGGAACAGGCGAUUCGACCUAAUACGUCGGAAAGUUGAGUGUACUUUAAGAGGAAGGGACGGCUAACUCUGUGCCAGCAGCCGCGGUAAUACAGAGGUCCCUAGCGUUGUUCGGAUUUACUGGGCGUAAAGGGCACGUAGGUGGCUAGGCGUGUCAGAUGUGAAAUCUCCGGGCUCAACCCGGAAAGUGCGUCUGAAACUACCUGGCUCGAGUCCGGGAGAGGGAAUCGGAAUAUAGGGUGUAGCGGUGAAAUGCGUUGAUAUCCUAUAGAACA